GUUUAUAAGGUCUACAUGACAGUUCAGAGUACAAAAAUCGACACAUGCACUGAGCUGAUCUGGACACAGGGUCAAAUGCUGCCCUAUCAAGACAGCAAACAUGGGUGGGUUGUUGUUUUUUUUUCAGAAAAAAAUUAAUAUUGUGAAAGGACUGUAUGCCACAAAAAUGCACAUUUUACUCUGUCGGUAACACUGACAGGAAACGCAUGGCUUCAUUUCAUCUAAGACCAACAUGCUCAGUGUUCAGAAUCGAAAUGAGUCAUGAUUCCUGCCACUGGCUGAUGAGAUUAAACGCACUCAUCGGCCCAGGGAGAUAAAAACUGCAGCUUCCAAGGAAAACUCCGGUGCCUUCAGCCUGCGAAUGACACGUCCAUUUCGGAAGUUCUAGCAAAUAUGAGCUGAGCUCGUGUAGUGAAAUCUGGUCACAACCGUUCCACCAAGGCCUUUGGGCAGCUCUGCAUAGAGACCCAGGCUUCUUCAGGAGAAGGGUUGGAAGCAGGCAGGGUGGGUCUCUGCCCCUGGAGAAAUGUGAGUCUGAGGGUUGUGGUCCACGCUGAGUUUUCCUCCUGGACACUGGGCAGUGGUUAAGAAGUGGCAUCUCAAAGUAUUACUUUCAGAACAGAGAGGCAGUGAGGUCCUGCUGUGCAGCACAGCGAACUGUAUCCAACCUCCUGGGACAGGCCGUGAUGGAAGGUGAAAUGACACAAGGGAAUGUGUGUGUGUGUGACGGGGUCACCUUGGUGUACAGCAGAAACUGGCACGACACUGAUCUUGAGGUGGCCAGCAGAGACCCAUCUUUGUCAAAAUUUCUAAAAAAUGUGAGGGAAUUUCUUCUGAACGAUAGACCUCCGUUUCUGACAGCCUUGCUACCGGCCUCAACUCGUAUCUGCUCGCUAGGAGUUUCCUCCCUUGAAAACCACUGAACACGAAACCACCGAGCCCGCCGCCCCGUCUGUUGUGGUCUCUCCCCAGCCGCCUCCGAUGCCGACGCAAAACCCGCUCAGGGCGGCGGGAGACCUGACGUUGGCCCCUCCCGUCUCCGGGCACAUCCCCACAUGCCAUGUUGGCCGCAUCCACUGGUCACGACCAGUUCAGCUGUGGGGGCUGAGACGCAGCUGCGAGAACUUUCCCUCAGUUACCAUGGAGGAUGGCCCAGAAGAGCCCUUAAGUAUCUCGUUCUGCCCCCGUGACUCUCACAGCUCCUGGAUGCCCUUCUCACGAGCCAACGAUGCAAUUCCCCGCACAUCCGCAUCCUCCGAAGGCGCAGUGCACCGCACCAUGGUGGGCAGGUUGGGCCGGCAGGUAGAAGAGCAACGUGAGGGAUGCUGUGCUUGGAAAGGUGAGAACGAUCCAGAACAAGCUACUGAAAGGGACGGUCCUCCCUCCCAGGCCCCAGCCAAGUGGCUGUCGGGAGAUAUUCAGCAGGUCCUGGAGGACUCGUUUGGGAGAAGUCACAGCACCUUCCUGCCCCGGGGUCCCCACCCAUCAGAGAACCUCUGCUUCCCUGCAGGCGAUUUGAGGAGGCAGGGGCAGCUUAGCCGUCCAGCCCUCAUGAUGCCACUACAGCCUCUCGCUCCCCAGAAGGGAGAAGCGCAGGGGGACUUGAGCAAACCUUCUGUGCCCAGACAAAGGCGAGCCGUUGAGUCCCUCGAAACGCUUCGGAAGAAUGUUUGUGGCCUGCUGCAGUGUCACUGUCGCAUCCUCUGUGGUCACUACACAUCGUAUACACCCUGACGGCAUCGGAUCAAGU
rnacentral:lncRNA from 9 species